ensembl:lncRNA
GUCCCGGCGCCACGUUCCAUGCCCCCGACCCGACCAGCUCCGGCGCCACGUUCCAUGCCCCCGACCCGACCAGUUCCGGCGCCACGUUCCAUGCCCCCGACCCGACCAGUUCCGGCGCCACGCUCCAUGCCCCCGACCCGACCAGUUCCGGUGCCACGCUCCAUGCCCCCGACCAGUUCCGGCCCCACGCUCCAUGCCCCCGACCAGUACCGGCCCCACGCUCCAUGCCCCCAACUCGGCCAGUCCCCGCUCCGAGACUCAGGCUCCCUCCCUCCCAUCCCAUGGUCCUCUCCCACCCUCCCGUUGGUGAUUUGAGGGCCGUCUGGGAUCCGGCCCUUGAGGGGGGGGCUACGGGGUGGGUUAUGGGGGGGGCUGAACCGACGACUGCGGAGGUGUUCCGUGUCCCCGAGCCGGCGCCCCCGACUACCGAGGUGUUCCGUGUCCCCGAGCUGGAGCCAGACUACGGAGGUGUUCCGUGUCCCCGAGCUCCAGCUGACUACGGAGGUGUUCC